rnacentral:rRNA from 1 species
GUCUACAGCCAUACCACCCUGAACACACCCGAUCUCAUCUGAUCUCAGAAGCUAAGCAGGGUUAGUACCUGGAUGGGAGAGCGCCUGGGAAUACCAGGUGCUGUAGGCU